rnacentral:rRNA from 1 species
AUGGAUGAGCGAUGGAUAUCAAGUCCUUGGCCUUGUUUCAAGCCAAUGACAAAUAUGGUCCACAUAGAUGAGAAAUGGUAUGACAUGACUCGAGUGAAGAGCAGCAACUAUGUACUGCCUAGAGAAGAACAACCAAAUCGUACUGUGCACAAUACUCAUAGCAUUGGGAAGGACGAGGCACAACGAACCAGCCACAAUAGAGAUAGAGGGACAAUAGAGCUGAGGCAAGCGAAAGUAACCCGGCCUGUAUGCAAAGAUUACCUGAUCAAUAAAGUAAUCCCUUCCAUUCAAGACAAAUGUCCUAACGGUGACAAGGACACAACAAUCUUCAUUCCACAAGAUAAUGCAACACCACAUGUCCUCCCUAAUGAUGCUGGGUUUUUAGAAGCUGCGGCACAAAGAGAUCUGGAUAUUUGA